rnacentral:rRNA from 1 species
GACGUAGGGCGCGAGCGUUGUCCGGAUUUAUUGGGCGUAAAGAGCUCGUAGGCGGCUCGUCGCGUCGACCGUGAAAACCCGCAGCUUAACUGCGGGCCUGCGGUUGAUACGGGCGGGCUAGAGUUCGGUAGGGGAGACUGGAAUUCCUGGUGUAGCGGUGAAAUGCGCAGAUAUCAGGAGGAACACCGGUGGCGAAGGCGGAUCUCUGGGCCGAUACUGACGCUGAGGAGCGAAAGCGUGGGGAGCGAACAGG